rnacentral:rRNA from 1 species
UACGUAGGGGGCAAGCGUUUGUCCGGAUUUAUUGGGCGUAAAGAGCGUGUAGGCGGCCAUGUAGGUCCGUUGUGAAAACUCGAGGCUCAACCUCGAGACGCCGAUGGAAACCAUGUGGCUAGAGUCCGGAAGAGGAGAGUGGAAUUCCUGGUGUAGCGGUGAAAUGCGCAGAUAUCAGGAAGAACACCCGUGGCUAAGGCGGCUCUCUAGUACGGUACUGACGCUGAGACGCGAAAAGCGUGGGGAGCGAACAGG